CCUACGGGGGGCUGCAGUGGGGAAUAUUGGACAAUGGGGGGAACCCUGGUCCAGCCAUGCCGCGUGUGUGAAGAAGGCCCUCGGGUUGUAAAGCACUUUCAGUGAGGAAGAACGCCUGGUGGUUAAUACCCAUCAGGAAAGACAUCACUCACAGAAGAAGCACCGGCUAACUCCGUGCCAGCAGCCGCGGUAAUACGGAGGGUGCGAGCGUUAAUCGGAAUUACUGGGCGUAAAGCGCGCGUAGGUGGCUUGAUAAGCCGGUUGUGAAAGCCCCGGGCUCAACCUGGGAACGGCAUCCGGAACUGUCAAGCUAGAGUGCAGGAGAGGAAGGUAGAAUUCCCGGUGUAGCGGUGAAAUGCGUAGAGAUCGGGAGGAAUACCAGUGGCGAAGGAGGCCUUCUGGACUGACACUGACACUGAGGUGCGAAAGCGUGGGUAGCAAACAGGAUUAGAUACCCGAGUAGUC
rnacentral:rRNA from 1 species